AGAGUGAACGCUGGCGGCAGGCCUAACACAUGCAAGUCGAGCGGCAGCACAGGUAGCAAUACCGGGUGGCGAGCGGCGGACGGGUGAGGAAUACAUCGGAAUCUGCCUUGUUGUGGGGGAUAACGUAGGGAAACUUACGCUAAUACCGCAUAAGACCGUAAGGUGAAAGCGGGGGACCGCAAGGCCUCGCGCGACAAGAUGAGCCGAUGUCGGAUUAGCUAGUUGGUGAGGUAAUGGCUCACCAAGGCGACGAUCCGUAGCUGGUCUGAGAGGAUGAUCAGCCACACUGGAACUGAGACACGGUCCAGACUCCUACGGGAGGCAGCAGUGGGGAAUAUUGGACAAUGGACGAAAGUCUGAUGCAGCAACGCCGCGUGGGUGAUGAAGCUUCUCGGAGUGUAAACCCCUUUCGACCCGGUAAGAAUGCCCGCAAGGGUUUGACGGUACGGGUAUAAGAAGCCCGGCUAACUACGUGCCAGCAGCCGCGGUAAU
rnacentral:rRNA from 1 species